ACUACUGGAGUGGGGUGCCAUUGCCUUCUCCGGGUUAUUAGUCUAGUUGGUGUAUAAGUGAGCCCUUGAUGGGAGCAGAGGUCAUUCUAACAGCCUGCCUUCAGUGGAAGGAAAGAACUUUGUGCUUGAAGUGAGGAGUCCUGAGUCCUAAUUCCAGUGGAGUUUUCCAUGUAUGAUUCAUCCUUGAACUUCCCACCAUAUGGCUGGCAUAUAAGAUGUGUCCACUAAUGUGUGACUGAAUGGAUAACAAGCGAUUCAUGGACUUUGUGCAUAUGCCUCUCUGGGUCUCAGUUUCUCCUGCUGGAAAAUCAAAAUGCUGUGGGAGCCCUUCUAGGGAAGAAGAGCCAGAAACGUGCUUUGAAACAUGGGAAGGGAACCACCCAUUGCUCAAGAAGGUGUGUUGGUUCUCCUGGAAUCCCCAACCAGGCUCCUCUCAGAAGGAGCAAAAUGAUUAUUUACCUGCAUCUAUAUGGUUCUGAAGCUAUGAUACUUUGUAUUGGCCACCUGAUGCAAAGAGCUUGCUCAUUAGAAAAGACCCUGAUGCUGGGAAAGAUUGAAGGCAGGACGAGAAGGGGACGACAAAGGAUGAGAUGGUUGGAUGGCAUCACCAACUAGAUAGACAUGAACUUGAGCACACUCUGGGAGUUGGUAAUGGACAGGGAAGCCUGGAAUGCUGCAGUCCAUGAGGUCACAGAGUCAGACACGAAUGAAUGAAAGAACUGAACUGAUACGGUUUUGAAAAAACAGAUACUAAUUAUUAAUUCACUGGGGAAAAUUUGACAUCUCACAUUAACUUUUUUGGGUUUAAGAGUUAAAAACUGAUUUUCAAAAGGUUAACUUAUGAAAACCUCAGCCCAUACACACUUGCUCAGUUAGCCUUUGUAAGGUUCCGUCAGAUGGCACUAGGUCCACUGGCCAUCAGUGGAGGUAGGCGUGGAAGAAAGGAGUUUUGGACCUUGAAUGUAGGGAUCCAGAGGGCACUGAGCAGGUAGACUUUCAGAGAAGUGGACCAAAGCACCUGCUUCACCACCGUCUUAGCCCUGGAGGUAGACAACCCUCGCCCAAAUUCUCAGUGCUUCUGUUUCAUUCCACACUUCCCUGUUUAUUUAAUUUCACUGGCUUUUAGUCAGAAAUUGACUGUGUAAAAUAUUUGGCAUAGAAAGUAAAGUGAAACACUGAAAAUCCAAGGCAACAGGAUAUAAACAGUGAACACAAUAUCCUUGGCCAGUGACUUCUUGUUUCCUCUCCUUAGCAGUGCUGUGGAUUCUCAGCACACUCUGAGAGACCUGAGUGAGCCCUGCUUGUGGUCUGUGAACCUUAUAGGACUCACAGUCCUCUAUUUGCAGGAUCCUUGUUACCAAGGAAAUGGAAACUGGGCCAAAAAUAGAAAUGAUGCCCAUUUGCAAAAUCCUAAAGGAAACAUAGAAACUGGCAACAAUGGGCAAGCCACUCUUGUGGGUUCUUAUUUCUCAGAUAAACAUGCCUUAAUUUAAGAAUCACCCUUGUUAUAAUAUUAAUUCCUUCUAUUCAAUUUUCAAAUUUACAUAAACAUUACUUAAAACUGAUUAGGCAAGGCUUAGAAG
ensembl:lncRNA